rnacentral:rRNA from 1 species
UACGAACUGUGCAAACGUUAUUCGGAUUCACUGGGCUUAAAGGGUGCGUAGGCGGCUGUUUAAGUAGGGUGUGAAAGCCCCCGGCUCAACCGGGGAAAUGCGCUCUAAACUGGACAGCUUGAGUGGGACAGGGGUGUGCGGAACUUCCGGUGGAGCGGUGAAAUGCGUAGAUAUCGCUUGGAACGCCGAAGGUGAAAACAGGCUGCUGGGGUUGCGCCGACGCUGAGACACGAAAGCCAGGGGAGGCAAACGGG